rnacentral:rRNA from 1 species
UACGAAGGGGGCUAGCGUUGUUCGGAAUUAUUGGGCGUAAAGGGCGCGUAGGCGGCUGAACAAGUCAAAGGUGAAAUCCCUCGGCUCAACUGAGGAACUGCCUUUGAAACUGUUCGGCUUGAGGCCGGGAGGGGGUAGCGGAAUUCCCAGUGUAGCGGUGAAAUGCGUAGAUAUCGGAAGGAACACCAGUGGCGAAAGCGGCUUCCUGGUCCAGCACCGACGUUCAGGCACGAAAGCGUGGGGAGCAAACAGG